AUAUGGGACAAUGGGGGAAACGCUGAUCCAGCCAUGCCGCGUGUGUGAAGAAGUCCUUCGGAUUGUAACGCACUCUAAGUUGGGAGGAAGGGUUGUUGGCUAAUAUCCAGCAAUUUUGACGUUACCGACACAUUAAGUACUGGCUAACCCUGUGCAAUCAGUCACGGUAAUACAGAGGGUGCAAGCGUGAAUCGGAAUUACUGGGCGUAAAGCGGGCGUAGGUGGUUCAGUAAGAUGUGUGUGAAAUCCCCGGGAUUAAACUGGGGGCGGCUUUCAUAACUGCUGAGCUAGAGUACGGUAGAGGGUAGUGGAAUUUCCUGUGUAGCGGUGAAAUGCGUAGAUAUAGGAAGGAACACCAGUGGCGAAGGCGACUACCUGGACUGAUACUGACACUGAGGUGCGACAGCGUGGGGAGCAAACAG
rnacentral:rRNA from 1 species